AUUCAGUCAUGGACAGUUAUAUGUGGCACUAUCAAGCUGCACCUAUUUUGAUCGUGUCAGCGUACUUCUUCCUAAUAAUGAGCUUGAUUCCACAACAAACAUUGUUUAUCCCAAAGUGUUAUUGUCGUGAUAUGUAAUCAAAACAACCAAUAGCCAAAAUAUAAAGGUAUGUUUAAUUUGUCAUUCUUUAUGUAAAUUUGUUCAAUCAACUCUUAAAAGGGUACUCUACAUUCUUAGUGUAUUUUUGUAGGAUUGGGAUGAAAAAGCUAUAGAUCUCAAAGAGGAAUAAUAUGACAUCAACAAUACUACAAUAGAAACGUAAUAAGAAAUACAACUCAAGUACGUGAAUUGCGAGGCUUCCGAUCCGAGGUGAAUUGAAGUGAUAGUAAAGGGAGCAUUGCUGGUAAAUUGAAAUGAUAGUAAAGGUUUUUGUUAGAUUUCAGCGGUAAGCGCCUUCAGGCACGGCACAAUUCAUAUGGAUUGUCGUCGCCCAAAUGAACAUGGUUGCCAUUGGAUUAGGUUUACCAUAGCAGGAUUGUGUCGCUGGAAGUAUUGGAAAAAAUUCAGGUUAUAUAACCUUUUGUACUGAUUUAUGGUGUGCUUGAUCAAGUAACUUAUUGACUAUUCUGUGGAUUGAAGGCAACAACUCUUUGGUAGUACGUGAUUCUUGCGCAUUUGGUUUUGGUUUCUGUUAGGUAAUUUGCACACUGAAUUAUACCCUUUCUAUCAUGGUCUCUAUCUCUUUCUUUCUUUAUGCAUUUCUGGAACUAAUUUUUGUUAAAUAUUUUAACUAGGUAAAAGGAU